CUCCAGCAUCUUCUCCAGCUGAGCCGGGCAGAGACGUGGACAGUCACGACCACAUGCGGUGAUGGAACAUUCGGCAUCGGGAUCGGUCUAACCUUUGGAGUGAACAUGUGAGCGAUCCCAUCGACCGAUCCUUUCAGCAUCAGACCUCUGACCAGGAAGCAGAACAGAACCAGAACGGCACCUUUCCAGAGGAGGCUAUCCCUUUAAUGACGGCGAGGCAGACGAUAAUCCAGGCCACCAGCAGGGACAGGGUCAUCUUCACGUUCAGCCCGCCGCUCUCUGCGAUGGUGCUGGUGGUGUUCAGAGUCUGGCGGUACCAGAAAGUGCAGGAUUGGAGCGCUCUCCAUGAGGACCUCCAUGUUUAAACCCCAACAUGCAGCUGGAGCUUCUCCUCACCAUCAGACUCGACAUUCCUAUCCCUCCCAGACGAGGACAGACAUAGUUCCACACGCCGAUGCUCCCACGCCGGAUCUUCUGACCCACCGCCAGCUCCAAGAAGAAGAGCGGGAUGCCGAUGAUGAUGAGGAGGAUGAAGUAUGGAACCAAGUAGGCCCCUAAAAAACAAGAUAAAACAUCAAUUUUUUUAAAAUUCCUUCACAUUAGGACAAGUUUUACUCAAGUUCUUAUUCUUCUUUCUUUUUCUGCCAUUGGGGGAAAAUUUGACCCCAUCACAAACACAAAACCUCCCUAAGAUUUGCACUUACCUAAUACUCGAUGAAAAAAAAAAAA